UUGAUUGGUCGAAAGACCUUCUCAGAUUCUACCACCUCUGUGAACCGUUGACCUCCGGGUUAAUAAUCAAACAUCAGUGUAACGAACGUAAGAGUAUCUUAAUUAAACA
rnacentral:misc_RNA from 1 species